UCAGGAUGAACGCUAGCUACAGGCUUAACACAUGCAAGUCGAGGGGAAACGAUAGAGAAAGCUUGCUUUUUCUAGGCGUCGACCGGCGCACGGGUGAGUAACGCGUAUCCAACCUGCCCACCACUUGGGAAUAACCUUGCGAAAGUAAGACUAAUACCCAAUGAUAUCUCUAGAAGACAUCUGAAAGAGAUUAAAGAUUUAUCGGUGAUGGAUGGGGAUGCGUCUGAUUAGCUUGUUGGCGGGGUAACGGCCCACCAAGGCGACGAUCAGUAGGGGUUCUGAGAGGAAGGUCCCCCACAUUGGAACUGAGACACGGUCCAAACUCCUACGGGAGGCAGCAGUGAGGAAUAUUGGUCAAUGGGCGAGAGCCUGAACCAGCCAAGUAGCGUGCAGGAUGACGGCCCUAUGGGUUGUAAACUGCUUUUAUAAGGGAAUAAAGUGAGCCUCGUGAGGCUUUUUGCAUGUACCUUAUGAAUAAGGACCGGCUAAUUCCGUGCCAGCAGCCGCGGUAAUACGGAAGGUCCGGGCGUUAUCCGGAUUUAUUGGGUUUAAAGGGAGCGUAGGCCGGAGAUUAAGCGUGUUGUGAAAUGUAGAUGCUCAACAUCUGCACUGCAGCGCGAACUGGUUUCCUUGAGUACGCACAAAGUGGGCGGAAUUCGUGGUGUAGCGGUGAAAUGCUUAGAUAUCACGAAGAACUCCGAUUGCGAAGGCAGCUCACUGGAGCGCAACUGACGCUGAAGCUCGAAAGUGCGGGUAUCGAACAGGAUUAGAUACCCUGGUAGUCCGCACGGUAAACGAUGGAUGCCCGCUGUUGGUCUGAAUAGGUCAGCGGCCAAGCGAAAGCAUUAAGCAUCCCACCUGGGGAGUACGCCGGCAACGGUGAAACUCAAAGGAAUUGAC
rnacentral:rRNA from 1 species